rnacentral:rRNA from 1 species
AUUGAACGCUGGCGGCAUGCUUUACACAUGCAAGUCGAACGGUAACAGGCCGCAAGGUGCUGACGAGUGGCGAACGGGUGAGUAAUGCAUCGGAACGUGCCCAGUCGUGGGGGAUAACGCAGCGAAAGCUGUGCUGAUACCGCAUACGAUCUAUGGAUGAAAGCGGGGGACCGUAAGGCCUCGCGCGAUUGGAGCGGCCGAUGUCAGAUUAGGUAGUUGGUGGGGUAAAGGCUCACCAAGCCAACGAUCUGUAGCUGGUCUGAGAGGACGACCAGCCACACUGGGACUGAGACACGGCCCAGACUCCGAGGGGAGGAAGCAGUGGGGAAUUUUGGACAAUGGGCGCAAGCCUGAUCCAGCAAUGCCGCGUGCAGGAAGAAGGCCUUCGGGUUGUAAACUGCUUUUGUACGGAACGAAAAGGUCUGGGUUAAUACCCUGGGCUGAUGACGGUACCGUAAGAAUAAGCACCGGCUAACUACGUGCCAGCCGCCGCCGUAA